ensembl:lncRNA
AGAGAAGUGCUCAAAUCACCACAGCUGGUACUGUUUAGAUGCCUUACUAGUAACCUCAUGGAAGCCAAGGCUAUGUCACACCUGAAAGAAAAGGCUGUGGGGAAAGAAAUAAUUCUGAGUCAGCUUAACAGUCUUCCUCCUGAAGAGAAGGUAGAAUAAGUGUGGCCUUCACAAAGUAGGCUGAAAUCACUUUCUGGAGUGUCCUGCAGAUGUGAUGACUUUAUGCUGAAGAACUGUUGAUGGUGUGACCAUGGGUCUGGAGUGGAGCUGUGCAGAGAUAUCUGCAGAUCUGGAGAGAAACUGUGUUGAUAACACACCCGUGUUUUUGCUGUUGCUGACCAGUGCUGCACAGAGCUGAAGAUAUCUCAGCUUUUCAGCUUCUUGUGCUGUCCCAGCAGGCCUUGGAGAUUUUUCUAUCAAGAGGGAAAUGAGCAGUGAGAGGAAGGGUUGCUGGCUGAGGCAAGUGGCGGAUUGGUGUCAGACAGCAUAGGGGAGAUUCCUUUCUCAGACAAGGAACCAAACAGCC